rnacentral:tRNA from 2 species
GCUACCGUGGUGCUAAUGGGAACACGCAUCCCUGGUACGGAUGAGACGGCAGUUCGAUUCUGCCCGGUAGCUCCA